UGGUUCUGGCAUCGAUGAAGAACGCAGCGAAAUGCGAUAAGUAAUGCGAAUUGCAGAAUUCCGUGAGUCAUCGAAUCUUUGAACGCACAUUGCGCCCUUUGGUAUUCCGAAGGGCAUGCCUGUUCGAGCGUCAUUAUCAACCCUCAAGCCUGGCUUGGUGUUGGACUUGUGGUAGACCUUUGGGUCAACCGGUCCUAAAGACAAUGACGGUGUCCGUGGGACCCCCGGUACAAGGAGCUUUGACGAGCAUGUACUGUACGACCCACGGGCCCGGUCUACCUCUAUUUUUCUCAGGUUGACCUCGGAUCAGGUAGGAAUACCCGCUGA
rnacentral:misc_RNA from 1 species